UUACUUUAUAAUGCCUUUGUCAGAUCGCAUUUAGAAUUCGCUUCGGUCGUUUGGAGUCCUCAAUAUGCAGUGCAUAUUAAUGCCAUUGAAAAAAUCCAAAAUAAAUUUAUUAAAUGGUUGAAAUAUAGAUUCAAAUUGUUUGAUAGUGAUAACAUGGUAAGUCUCCAGCUGCGCAGGGAGCAAAAAGAUCAAAUUUUUCUGUUUAAAUUACUAAACCAUCUAAUCGAGUCGCAAUAUCUUAUUAGCAAUAUUUCAUAUAGAUGUCCUAAUUCCCGAACUAGAUCCAAAGCUUUAUUUGCCAUUCCAUUCUAGCAUGCUCUACGUAUAACUCUAAAUAUUCCAAUUUUGAUGUGUUCAACAUGAAGCUGGGUAAAUUUGUCACCUCAAUGAAAAA